AAAACCAUUAACGAAUCGCGUAGAUGCGCUUCGGGAAUUGUUGAAAUAAAAAGGGACAGCCUACCUUGAUUUGAGGUAGGCUGUUUUUUUA
rnacentral:sRNA from 1 species